CUUAGAUCAAAUACAUCCCUUGGAUUCCCUUAUUACUUAAACACAUGAUACAAUAAAUAGUGAUCAACAAUAAGUUUUGCCCUUCAUUAAACAUAUAAAAGUUUAAUACAUUAAGUAUUCCAAAAAGCUAUUACAUCAAAUGAGUGGCUUUGUGGGCAUACUUCGAACACUAGCAGCAUAUCAUGGUUACCCAAGCUAAGUAGAAGUGGUUGGAGAACCUAUCCAGUUACAACUACAAUGCAAUACAGUCCUUCUCUAAUACAAUACUCUUAAUCACAUUGUUUAAGUGAUAGUUUGUUUCAUGUCUACUAU
rnacentral:lncRNA from 1 species